GUGAGCACUAGAAGGGAUUUGGAGACCUCCAGCCCGGCCUCCUCUUGCUCUAUAGAUGGGAGGCCGGGGCCUGGAGAGGCUCACUCAGGGUUUCACAGUCAAGAACCAGAACCCCAACCUGUGCGGGCUUGCUUCCUCCCUCUUUUUCUCUCACCCUGCAGCCAGAAACAGCUCCUCCACUUCCCAGUCACCAUCUGAGAAAGAACCAGCCACAGGGCUGUACUCUAAUUGGGGAUGGAGGAUAGGACGUGGUUUGUCUCAGUUUCCAGAGUGGCUCAUGAGCUAUAAACCCCAAGCAAUGGGUUCAUGCCUCAGCUUACUCUGUGGCUUAUAAUUACCUAUGAGUCUGCCUUCCUUGCCAAACUGAGUUCCUUCAGGGCACAGACCAUGCCUUACUCAUCUUUGGGACCACAGUGCUGGCCUAAAGCUUUUCUCUAGUUCCGGCGAGUGGGGGCUACUCUUCGUUGAGGCCUUCCCAGAGCCUCUGUCCCUUCAUGGCUGCAAAGACUCUAAACCAGCAUGUCCCGAGCUCCUCAUCCUCCUCCCAGUCAGGCCCCUGACACAGGGAGUCCACUUACUCCUCUCGACAACCUGGUGAAGGAGACGGUGUUGGCCCGAUCCUACAGAUCAAGCCUCCGUGACUCAGUGCUCAGCUCACCCAUUAAGUGCCAGAGCCAGUGUGGCCUCCGGAGACCUUCGUGGUGCUCCAGAGCAGCUAAACCACAGCAUCUGGCUUGUUGCUGGGACUCUGGUGCUUUGGGCCACUCUUCCCCCCAUCCCCCCACCAC
ensembl:lncRNA